rnacentral:rRNA from 1 species
GACGUAGGGCGCGAGCGUUGUCCGGAUUUAUUGGGCGUAAAGGCGCUGCUGUGAGCGGCUUGUCGCGUCGUCUGUGAAAUCCCGCGGCUCAACCGCGGGUCUGCAGUCGAUACGGGCAGGCUAGAGUUCGGUAGGGGAGACUGGAAUUCCUGGUGUAGCGGUGAAAUGCGCAGAUAUCAGGAGGAACACCGGUGGCGAAGGCGGGUCUCUGGGCCGAUACUGACGCUGGGGGAGCGAAAGCGUGGGGAGCGAACAGG